rnacentral:rRNA from 1 species
GCCUCUGACCAACUCACUCUGAAUGUUCCCUAUCUCGUCAAAUCUCCGAAACCAAGCAGAGGCGAGCCUGGAUGGUGCUUGGACGGGUCACUGCCAUGUAUAACAGGUGUUAUAGUCU